UACGGGGGGGGCAAGCGUUGUUCGGAAUUACUGGGCGUAAAGGGCUCGUAGGCGGCCAACUAAGUCAGACGUGAAAUCCCUCGGCUUAACCGGGGAACUGCGUCUGAUACUGGAUGGCUUGAGAUUGGGAGAGGGAUGCGGAAUUCCAGGUGUAGCGGUGAAAUGCGUAGAUAUCAGGAGGAACACCGGUGGCGAAGGCGGCUACCUGGACAGAAACUGACGCUGAGGCACGAAAGCUAGGGGAGCAAACAGG
rnacentral:rRNA from 1 species